rnacentral:rRNA from 1 species
UGGCUCAGAUUGAACGCUGGCGGCAUGCCUUACACAUGCAAGUCGAACGGCAGCACGGGGGCAACCCUGGUGGCGAGUGGCGAACGGGUGAGUAAUGCAUCGGAACGUGCCCCGUAGCGGGGGAUAACCAGUCGAAAGAUUGGCUAAUACCGCAUACGCUCUACGGAGGAAAGCAGGGGGACCCGCAAGGGCCUUGCACUAUGGGGAGCGGCCGAUGUCCGAUUAGCUAGUUGGUGGGGUAAAGGCCUACCAAGGCGACGAUCGGUAGCUGGUCUGAGAGGACGACCAGCCACACUGGGACUGAGACACGGCCCAGACUCCUACGGGAGGCAGCAGUGGGGAAUUUUGGGACAAUGGGCGCAAGCCUGAUCCAGCCAUGCCGCGUGCGGGGAAGAAGGGCCUUCGGGGUUGUAAACCGGCUUUUGGGCAGGGAACGAAACGGGCGCGGGGCUAAUACCUCGCGCUAAUGACGGGUACCUGCAGAAUAAAGCACCGGGCUAAACUACGUGCCAGGCCGCCGCGGGUAAACACC